rnacentral:rRNA from 1 species
UACGUAGGGUGCGAGCGUUGUCCGGAAUUAUUGGGCGUAAAGGGCUCGUAGGCGGUCUGUUGCGUCGGUAGUGAAAACUCAGGGCUUAACCCUGAGCCUGCUUCCGAUACGGGCAGACUAGAGGUAUGCAGGGGAGAACGGAAUUCCUGGUGUAGCGGCGAAAUGCGCAGAUAUCAGGAGGAACACCGGUGGCGAAGGCGGUUCUCUGGGCAUUACCUGACGCUGAGGAGCGAAAGUGUGGGGAGCGAACAGG